GACGAACGCUGGCGGCGUGCUUAACACAUGCAAGACGAACGGAAAGGCCCUGCUUUUGUGGGGUGCUCGAGUGGCGAACGGGUGAGUAACACGUGAGUAACCUGCCCUUGACUUUGGGAUAACUUCAGGAAACUGGGGCUAAUACCGGAUAGGAGCUCCUGCUGCAUGGUGGGGGUUGGAAAGUUUCGGCGGUUGGGGAUGGACUCGCGGCUUAUCAGCUUGUUGGUGGGGUAGUGGCUUACCAAGGCUUUGACGGGUAGCCGGCCUGAGAGGGCGACCGGCCACAUUGGGACUGAGAUACGGCCCAGACUCCUACGGGAGGCAGCAGUGGGGAAUAUUGCACAAUGGGCGGAAGCCUGAUGCAGCAACGCCGCGUGCGGGAUGACGGCCUUCGGGUUGUAAACCGCUUUCGCCUGUGACGAAGCGUGAGUGACGGUAAUGGGUAAAGAAGCACCGGCUAACUACGUG
rnacentral:rRNA from 1 species